GGUCCUGGCCAGCUCAACUGGUAGAGCAUGGCAUUAACAUUGCCAGGGUGAGGGGUUCGAUUCCCUCUGGGACCA
rnacentral:tRNA from 1 species